GAUGAACGCUAGCUACAGGCUUAACACAUGCAAGUCGAGGGGAAACGACAUCGAAAGCUUGCUUUUGAUGGGCGUCGACCGGCGCACGGGUGAGUAACGCGUAUCCAACCUGCCCAUCACUUGGGAAUAACCUUGCGAAAGUAAGACUAAUACCCAAUGACAUCCCACGAAGACAUCUGAAUGGGAUUAAAGAUUUAUCGGUGAUGGAUGGGGAUGCGUCUGAUUGGCUUGUUGGCGGGGUAACGGCCCACCAAGGCAACGAUCAGUAGGGGUUCUGAGAGGAAGGUCCCCCACAUUGGAACUGAGACACGGUCCAAACUCCUACGGGGGGCAGCAGUGAGGAAUAUUGGUCAAUGGGCGAGAGCCUGAACCAGCCAAGUAGCGUGCAGGAUGACGGCCCUAUGGGUUGUAAACUGCUUUUAUAAGGGAAUAAAGUGGGUCUCGUGAGACUUUUUGCAUGUACCUUAUGAAUAAGGACCGGCUAAUUCCGUG
rnacentral:rRNA from 1 species